UGUAGCCGCUGGCUUACACCACAUCCAUGUCAGAUCCAAGCUGCGUCUGUGACCUACAUCACAGCUCACAGCAACGCCAGAGCUUUAACCCUCUGAGUGAAGCCAAGGAUCACACCUGCAUUCUCAUGGAUGCUAGUCAGAUUCAUUUCCGCUGAGCCACGACAGGAACUUCUACAAUUUUUAUAUUACAUUUCAAUUAUACUAGAGAGAAUCAAGAAUCUGGCAUGAAGCAUAAUCUAGUAGGAAAUACAGUAAAAUAUGAGUAUUUAGUUCUCUGUCAAUAUAGAUUAUCAACAGAUUAUCCCAUUGUGGCUGAGCAGGUUAAGAACCCAACAUAAUGCCUGUGAGGACACAGGUUCAAUCCCUGGCCUAGCUCAGUUGGUUAAGGAUCUGGCAUUGCCAAAAGCUGUGGUAUAUGUCAGAAAUGCCACUCAGCUCCUAUGUUGCUGUGGCUGUGGUGUAGGCAGCUCCGAUUCAGCCCCUGGCCCAGGAACUUCCCUAUGACUCAUUUUAGAUUCUGAAAAUACAUGACAUUGUUUAUAGAAGCAUUUCUUUCUCCUUAAAAUGCAAUCAAAUUUCUAAGACUGUAAGAUCCGUAAUUAACUUUAGUCCUAGAUAGACUAAUGUUACUUAUUGAAACCAAUAUAUUUUGUUUUGUUUUGUUUUUUAAACCAAUGUUUUGAUGCUUGACCUAGGCAGCUAUUGCUAAUAAAAUUCCCUUAUUUAAAAUAACUCAGGAGUUCCUGUCGUGGCACAGUGGUUAACGAAUCUGACUAGGAACCAUGAGGUUGCAGGUUGGAUCCCUGGCCUCACUCAGUGGGUUAAGGAUCCAGCGUUGCCGUGAGCUGUGGUGUAAGUCGCAGAUGCGGCUCAGAUCUGGCAUUGCUGUGGCUGUGGUAUAGGCCUGUGGCUACAGCACCAAUUCGACCCCUAGCCUGGGAACCUCCAUAUGCUGCAGGAGUGGCCCUAGAAAAAAGGCAAAAAGACAAAUAAAAUAAAAUAAAAUAACUCAGUUAACAAAUGUCAAAAAAUCCUUUUUUUCUUUUAAGGAUUGUGUAGUGCAUGAUACAUUUCAAUAUGUAAAUGUAAUUGAUUAAUGCAUUCCCUAAACUAUUGCACAUAGAACAUUUUAUGCUGUAACUAAAAUAAUUACUUAUCCACCCUAAUUCAAGUAAUGAAAUGAUGAUGUAAUGAGAUUCGUACAGUAGAAAAUAAGUCUUGCUUUGACAGAAAAAAAAAAUAGUCUCAAGAUUAUCAGUCAGGGCAAAAACAUAAGAAUUGAGUAUUCACAAGUACCUACAAAUUGAUGGAAUAUUUCCCCUAAGUAUUAUUACCUUUCAAGUACCUUGUCGUUAUUUUUUAGGUCAUUUACAUUUAUAAUUAAAUAAUAUUUUAUAUUUCUUAAGAAUUUUUCUUUAAGCAUUUUUUCUAUUAAUAUAUUUUAAUUCUAACAAAGGUCAAUUAUUUUGAACUUAAAAGUAGGAAAAUAUUGAGAAAGUCAUAGCCUGCUCCUUUCCCCAACAGACAGAAUUUUUGACUUCAUAGACCUCUAUAACCUAAUGAAAUCCAUUUUACCAUUGAAAUUAUUAGGAUUUAUUGCUAAAAUUUUCUUAAUUUUUUGAUUUCAUAUUAAUAAUCUAUUUUGCUAUUUAUAAUUGAGCUCAUUUCUAUCAUCUUUCCAAACUGUGGGUCACUGAUAAGGAAAAUCUGUAUACUCUUCAUCCUCCUAUACUUAAUGCAGUGGCAUUAUAUGCAAGGCACAACAUAAAUUUUGUAGAAUAAUAGAUGGAUAAAUGAAUAAUUGGAUGAUCAUAUACUUACGGUAAAUAAUCUUAAAAGUUAUUUAUGUUCAAAAUCUGAACAAAAUCCACUAAACCUAAAAAUUCAUAAUCUAUAUUGACCCUUGCAUGAAAAUGAAUAAGGCGUAUUUCAAUUUCAGAUUCUUCAAUUACUCUAGAAAAGCUUUUUGUCUCCAUUUUUUAAUGUUUUAUUUUUCAUAAUAUUGAAAUGGGACCUGUGUACUAUUAAAAGGAAAAAGAUUUAAUGAUUUAUGAGCUAGUUUAUUUUCUAUUUUAAAGGCAUUCUGGAUAGCAACAGGUGUACAAGCUCCAUUUAUUCCAUCAAGACACCAUUUUAUGGUACUAUUGCAUAAUUCUUUAUUGAGUGAAAACAAAAACAAACACAAAAAUCACUUUAAUCCACAUUUUAUAGGCCAGAAAGACCUUUCUGAAUUUGAAAAAUAUUAAUACACUGAGAAAUUGCGUAUUUAUACACACACAUACAUACACAUACACAUGUAUACCUUUCUGAAAAAUGAAACUGAAUAAAACACACACUUAAGUCUAUGAAUGCACGAGUAAUGAAAGAAAAGUUAUAAAGAGAUUCAUUCAUUCCCAGACAAUAAAAUCACUGUUGUCAGUCACCUUCCUUCAUCAAAUCAGCCUGAAAAAUUCCAAAACUAUCAGGUUUUUUUUUUUCCCUUUACCUCCCAGGUUGUAUUGUCUAAAGAGAAUAUGGUAAUACAAAACCUUUGGGUUCAAAGUGAAAAAUUCUUACUGUGACAUAUGAAAAGCUAAGACUGAUGGUAACCAACAAAUCAUUUUAUUUCUCCUCCCAUUUCUUUUCUCAUUCUAUAUGUCUUCUGUAUUAAGCAUAACUGUAAGAAAGACAGUCAUCUCUGUCUAGACUAGGUGGCAGAAAAGGUGUUUUUGGAGCAAUGUUAGGAACUCAAGAACUAAUGGUAAACUGAAAGACCAAGCUUUGAAAACUGGUAAAAAAACAGAAGGUGGUCAGGAAACAUUACUAACCAUGCUUAAUAGAAAGGGUCUGAUUAGAACUCUGCCCCUACAACUGCCAAAGUCUGCUACUGGGCCUUGGUGUUGCAUUCACUGAAAACCUCUUCAUUUCCUAUAAAUGAACCCUAAAUACUCAUGCUUCCAACUCCAUAUUCAAAGUUUUUUGUGGGAGCAACUAUUUGGCUGAACCCAUUUCACAUGUCAAACUUUUGGUCAUUGGGGCAGAGAAGUGAAAGUUAGUCUUACUUUUAAUACUAUGGUGAGAAACAUGGCACUACAUCUCAAGAUAAUACACACAUCGAAGAGUAUUCCAAAACAAGAAAUGAAACCGAACUGAGAACAAUCAAAAUUAAACUGAAAAGUCCAUGGCCUUCUUCUAUAUUGUCUCAUAUCUGUCCAAGUUUUUCAGUUAUUACUGAAUGACCACUGUAUUUUUGUCUCCAUCUAAAAACUUAUUCCUGGGAUUCAGAUUCUUACAUCCAAGGGCUGGUAGAUAUUUAUACUUAUAUAGUUCACACAUAUCUCAAAACUAAAUAUGAUGCAUACAUAUCAUUUCUCAUUAAUCUCCCCCCAUUCAUCUCCAAAAAAAGAUUGUUCCUCAUUUCCUCACUCAGGAAAAAAUUAAAACAUUCUACUAAUUGCCAAAAUCAGGGAGUUAUCCUAACAACUGUUUCUUCUCUUACCUUCCAAGGAAUCAUUUACCAAAACGCGCCAUUUCUACAUCAUAUUAUCAUAGAGUCGCCACCCCACUUUCAAUACUUGCCUUUAAUACUUGGCAAUUUGAUUAUGGCAAACUCCUGUUUUCUUUGCCCUUAGUGUCACUCCUUUUCCUAUACAGUCAAUGUGAUAUUUCUAAAAGUAAAAUCACACUAUGCCAAAUACCUUCUUAAAUGGCUUCAAAAACUUCCUGUCUUUUAUUAUGGUUUAUAAACUUGCUUUCAUAGUUAUAGGCUGUAGUGAGUUUUAUACAUGUUUUAUUCUUCAGGCUCCCCUAUCACCAUUUUCUUAGCAUCCUAUAAACCAAAUUUAUAAAAUCACAUUGUAUCUAUAUUUUUAAAUGUUUGUUAGAAUCUUUUAAUAAUAGGAUAUUAAGAAAAAUAAAUGAAUGGCUGCACUAAAUGUACUUAAUAGUUGUAAGAUACAAGCUAUUUUUUGGAAAUAUCAAAAUGUAAGAAAGAUGUGUGCCGUGUAGCUAAAAACUGCCAGUAUCUAGAAUUUCAUAAACAUUUCUAUUUCUUGUGGCUUCCAUGCUUGGCAUGAGCUACUCUGUCAUCCUAGAGGGUCAAAUCACCCCCCACCAGCUUUUAAUCAUAUUAAAAACUAUAUGUAAAAAUUGUUCUCAAGAAGUCUUUUACUGAUUCACCGUCUAGAAUCCUCCUCAAUAACCGAAGAUACUCCCAGCAGCAUAAUAUUUUCAUUUAGUACCCAUUGUUGCCUCUGCCUAUGUAGUUAAAUGCUGAUUAGUCUGAAUGAUGGCCCCAAAGAUGUCAAUGUUCUAAUCCCCAGAACCUGAAAUUUUUACUUUUAUGGUAAAAAGAGUAUUGUAGAUAUGAUCAAAUUAAGGAAUUUGGGAUGAGAUUAUUUUGGACAACCUAGAUGGGCCCAAUAUACUCACAUGUAAUACUUCAAGGAGACCCUUAAGAAGCUUUACAGGCAUCAACUGGUAUUAAGUUCUUCCUUUAAUGGGGAUCUUGGUAUCACAUCUUUAUCUCUACAAAUAUAUGCAUAUGUUACAAGUUUUCUUAGUCCCAGGUGGGAACAGUAACCAGACUUCCAAGUAUGUUAUCAUUCUCCUUCUUCGAAAUGCGUACAUGUUUCAUAUAUGUUGAAAUAUACUCAUCUUAAUAUUUUAUUUAAAAAUAGAAAAUUAGAUAGGUAAGAUAUUAAGAAAUGAUUGAUAUAUUUGAGAAUUUUCCAGAAUUACUAGUAAUUCUGAUAUGUGAAUAGACAUAUUACUUUGUCUUUGGUAGAACUAAAGUAAUAUAUGGUUCCUGGCUCAUGGUAAAAUAGAAUACGGUAAAGGAAGUUAAGACAUGUCUUUUCCCAUUCUUCCUACUUCAAAAAUAAACACAUCCUACAAACUUUAUAUCUCAUAAAGUCUUUUUAGGACCACACCUGUGGCAUAUGGAACUUCCCAGGCUAGGGAUCGAAUCAGAGCUGCAGCCAAUAGCCUAUGCUACAGCCACAGCAAUGCAGGAUCCGAGCUUCAUCCAUGACCUACACCACAGCUCAUAAAAUCGUGGGAUUCCUUAAUCCACUGAGCAAAGCCAUGGAUAAAACCCUCAUCCUCAUGGAUACUAAUUGGGUUCAUUACCACUGAGC
rnacentral:lncRNA from 1 species